rnacentral:tRNA from 1 species
UGGGGUAUAGCCAAGCGGUAAGGCAGCAGGUUUUGAUCCUGCCAUCCCCAGGUUCGAAUCCUGGUACCCCAG